rnacentral:rRNA from 1 species
UACGAGAGGUGCAAGCGUUAUUCGGAAUUAUUGGGCGUAAAGGGCGCGUAGGCGGUUUUGUAAGUUUUUUGUUUAAUUCUCUGGCCCAACCAGAGGCAUGCAAAAAAGACUGCAUUGCUAGAGUGUAAUAGAGAGAAGUGGAAUUUUCGGAGUAGCGGUUAAAUGCGUAGAUCUCGAAAGGAACGCCAAUGGCGAAGGCAGCUUCUUGGAUUACUCUGACGCUGAGGCGCGAAGGCGUGGGGAGCAAACAGG